GUCCACGCUGUAAACGAUGGGUACUAGACGUUGGGAAGCUUGUCUUCUUAGUGUCGCAGCUAACGCGAUAAGUACCCCGCCUGGGGAGUACGGCCGCAAGGUUAAAACUCAAAGGAAUUGACGGGGGCCCGCACAAGCGGUGGAGCAUGUGGUUUAAUUCGAUGCAACGCGAAAAACCUUACCUGCCCUUGACAUCUGGAGAAUCCUGCAGAGAUGCGGGAGUGCCUUCGGGAACUCCAAGACAGGUGCUGCAUGGCUGUCGU
rnacentral:rRNA from 1 species